rnacentral:rRNA from 1 species
GAUUAACGCUGGCGGCGUGCAUAACACAUGCAAGUCGAACGAUGAAACUUAACUGAUUUCUUCGGAAUGAUUUUAAGUGGCGUAGUGGUGGACGGGGGAGUAACUCGUGAGUAACCUGCCUUGGAGAAGGGGAUAGCCUUCGGAAACGAAGAAUAAUACCCUAUGAUAUGAUAAUAUCUCAUGAUAUUAUCAUCAAAGAUGUAUUGCUCUAAGAUGGACUUGCGUCUGAUUAGUUAGUUGGAGAGGUAACAGCUCACCAAGGCAGCGAUCAGUAGCCGGCUUGGGAGAGUGUACGGCCACAUUGGGACUGAGACCCGGCCCAGACUCCUACGAGAGGCAGCAGUGGGGACUUAUGCACACUGGGGGAAACCCUGAUGCAGCGGCGCCGCGUGAUUUAGAAAGCCUUCGGGUUGUAAAAUGCCUUUGUAUGGGAAGAAAAUGACAGUACCAUACGAAUAAGGACCGGCUAAUUACGUG